ACUGCUCAGUAACACGUGGUCAACUUACCCAAGAGUCCGGGAUAACCCCGGGAAACUGGGGAUAAUACCGGAUAGAUCAUCUUUGCUGGAAGGCUUGGUGGUUGAAACUUCCGGGGCUUUUGGAUGGGUCUGCGGCUGAUUAGGUUGUUGCCGGUGUAACGUACCGUCAAGCCUGUAAUCAGUACGGGUUGUGGGAGCAAGAGCCCGGAGAUGGAUUCUGAGACACGAAUCCAGGCCCUACGGGGCGCAGCAGGCGCGAAAACUCUACAAUGCAGGCAACUGCGAUAGGGGAACAUCGAGUGAUCCUCAUAUUGGGGGUCUGUCCACCUGUCUAAAAAACGGGUGUUAGCAAGGGCCGGGCAAGACCGGUGCCAGCCGCCGCGGUAAUACCGGCGGCUCGAGUGGUGGCCGAUAUUAUUGAGUCUAAAGGGUCCGUAGCCGGCUUUGCAAGUCUCUCGGGAAAUCCAGCGGCUUAACCGUUGGUCGUCCGGGGGGUACUACAUUGCUUGGGACUGGGAGAGGUAGGAGGUACUCAGGGGGUAGGAGUGAAAUCCUGUAAUCCUUUGGGGACCACCGGUGGCGAAGGCGUCCUACCAGAACAGGUCCGACGGUGAGGGACGAAAGCUAGGGGCACGAACCGGAUUAGAUACCCGGGUAGUCCUAGCCGUAAACGAUGCUCGCUAGGUGUCACAACAGUCGUGAAUUGUUGUGGUGCCGUAGGGAAGCCGUGAAGCGAGCCACUUGGGAAGUACGACCGCAAGGUUGAAACUUAAAGGAAUUGGCGGGGGAGCA
rnacentral:rRNA from 1 species